rnacentral:lncRNA from 1 species
GAUAAUUUUAAAAUGCUGGAGAGAAAAGAGAUGACUAAUGCUCCUUCAGGUGGUGGAAGACGAUUGCACCAGGAGAAAGAAGAGUUGGACAGGAAGCAAGACCGCUGCUGGGAGGAGAGAAGAGGAAGUAGGUUGGGGCCAAUAGAGUAAACAUGGUGUCAGCCAACGUGACUAGUGCCUUGGAGUUUGUCCUUUUGGGAUGCUGCCCUUGCUGUGAAGAGCGAGGCCUGGCCGUGCAUCAUUCAGCCAUCCCAGCUGAGGCACCAGACGGGCAAGUGAGGCCACCUCGGAGUGUCCAUCCCAGCGGAGCUAACUGAUCACAGUUGCAUAUGUGACCUCAGUCAGUGCAUCUUGUGUCCUAAGAAAUCUCUGCUUAUCUUAAGGUGGUAAAGAAUAAAUAACAUUUUAAAACACUUUAAAAUAAACCUAUGCGUAUUUCCUUUCCCCCUUUCUCCUAAAAUGAUGCUACUUUUAGUUGAAAAUUAUUAAGAUGAUAUGCACCAUUUUGGAAAGAAGGUCAAGAAUGAGAAAGGCAGAAAAUUUCGUGUAUGAAGC